GGGGGUAGAUGGGUGCUGGUGUGCCCCUUGGCCUUCAAAGCCAAUGUGAGGCGUUCGGAGCGUCUUGGGUGAGUUCGAUUCUCACAUACUCCCGCCA
rnacentral:tRNA from 1 species